UGUGAGAUGUUGGCUUAUAAUAACUACAGCCCUUAGAGGGGAGGCGCCAGACCAGCAGUGUGGCAUCAGCCCUGUUUCUUUGUUGCAGGUUUCCUGGUGGCUGAGUCUCCUGGCUGAUACUGGCACCUACCCUGGACUGCUUCACCAGGGUGUUCCUCCUUUUGCCCUUUGCUACUUCUACAUGAGCCUUCAUCACAAAAAUGAAUGGCAAUAGAGGAAGCUCUACAGGCUCUAAGGUGAGAAGAUAUUUUGCACGAAAAUUCCACCUCCUGUACAUAUUUCAAACUAUUUGCAUCCUACUUGGUUACUCUGUAGUCGAGGCAUUACAUCCCAACAGAGGAGAUCUAAGGGACAAAAAUACUGAGACACAGUCAGAAUAAGGCGAUUGAUGCUAACAGCUUUAAGCAACCUGGAGUUUCAUGUGACCAUGGCUCAGCAGGGCAGAUUUAUCAGGGCUGUUUCUCAGUUAAAGCUAAAUCAACAUCUCAGUGCAAAUUCAACAGCACUUACAGGUUGUGUACUUGGCAACUAUUCUGAGCAUACUCAACACAAUAAAGAGAAGUAACUAUCAAGAACCUGUACUGAAAUUAAAAGUCUUAAAAUAUUCCUCUUGGCUAUGUAAUCAGUACAGGUGUUUAUGGAGCUACUAAGGAAGGCAGCUUUACAGCACAAACUCAUGAGUUACCUCAUGGACUUCCAGCCAGUUUGGUUGUGGAGAAGUUGGCCUAUCUCUGACAGCAGCUCUCUUCUAGAGGCACAAGCACACAGACUUGGAUAUUCUGACACAUAAUUGAAGGAACUGCAGCCCGUGUCACUCAAGAAGGGCAGUGGUUUUAUUUUACUGCGUGCACUAUGUCUUUCUGCUGCAUGAUGUCACAUCUCUAGCCCGAUGUCUUGGUAACGAGAUUACUGAACUGCUCGUUUAACGGUAUCCAUGUGUUAAUAAGACACCACGACGUUAUGCAACUCAGAACUAAAAAAACCCUCGCUGUUCUCCUUCGCGUUAAGCCCUUGCAGGCUCAGCAGCACCCGCCAGGCUGGGGCUGCCGCAGGAGCGCUGAUGCGACUGCCCCCAGCGAGUCUGUCCACGAGCAGAGCCGUCCCACCUGCCAGCAGCAGCACGACUAAGCGCUCCGCGCGAGCUAUGGAGCGCUUCCCUCUUCCCGCCCUUUCUCCCUCCCUCCGCGGCCGCGGCCCCGCCCGCGAGG
ensembl:lncRNA